GUAGUUGUUGGACAGCUCCGAAAUGCUGAGCAGCACUAGAUCUGGAAGUUUUAAAGUGAAAUGAGUUGAUCUGCUUAUGUUCCAAAUGAUCAGCAAGCCAGAAGCCAAAAACGCUUUAUCUCAGCGAAAGAAGUCAAAAAUGGACUAUCUGUGAAUUUGCAGCUUUACAUUCAAUUUUCAGCAUUGUUAGUUGUUGGACAGCUCCGAAAUGCUGAGCAGCACUAGAUCUGGCUGUAUUAAACUGAAAUGAGUUGAUCUGCUUAUGUUCCAAAUGAUCUGCAAGCCAGAAGCCAAAAACGCUUUAUCUCAGCGAGAGAAGUCAAAAAUGGACUAUCUGUGAAUUUGCAGCUUUACACUAAAUUUUCAGCAUUGUUAGUUGUUAGACAUCUAAGAAAUGCUGAGCAGCACUGGAUCUGGCUUUUGGUUGAAAACUCAUAUACAUUGUCUGUGGUUCUUUCUUUUUUAUGUAGGUUUGAGAAAAUACCUAUCAAUUGGUGCCGUGACCCGGAUUCUCGACAUUUCCGUUCGCUGACAGACGAAGAAUGGCGCGCUGAAACUGUGCACGGCCAGAGUCAACAGGACCUGCAAACAAAGUCCUGGGAAGUGAAUUCUUCGCUGGGCCAGCGACGUAGGUCCGACUUUGUCUGCCAAUGACGGAUUGACGAGAUCCGAACAGACAAAACGAACCAACAGAAACAUGAGUGGAAAAGCGCUAUUCGGGUU